rnacentral:rRNA from 1 species
UACGAAGGGGGCUAGCGUUGUUCGGAAUUACUGGGCGUAAAGCGUGCGCAGGCGGCUGCUCAAGUCAGGGGUGAAAGCCCAGAGCUCAACUCUGGAAUUGCCUUUGAGACUGAGUGGCUUGAGUACGGGAGAGGUGAGUGGAAUUCCCAGUGUAGAGGUGAAAUUCGUAGAUAUUGGGAAGAACACCGGUGGCGAAGACGGCUCACUGGCUCGUUUCUGACGCUCAGGCGCGACAGCGUGGGGAUCAAACAGG